AGGGACUCAAUGAAGCUAUAUGAAAAAUGAAUGGGACGCUAUGGAGCUAGACGGCUAAAUGUGUCUCUUUCGCCUGAUUGUCUUUGAGAAACGUCUGA